AACGAACGCUGGCGGCAUGCCUAACACAUGCAAGUCGAACGAGAUCUUCGGGUCUAGUGGCGCACGGGUGCGUAACGCGUGGGAAUCUGCCCUUUGGUUCGGAAUAACAGUUGGAAACGACUGCUGAUACCGGAUGAUGACGAAAGUCCAAAGAUUUAUCGCCAGAGGAUGAGCCCGCGUAGGAUUAGCUAGUUGGUGUGGUAAAGGCGCACCAAGGCGACGAUCCUUAGCUGGUCUGAGAGGAUGAUCAGCCACACUGGGACUGAGACACGGCCCAGAUUCCUACGGGGGGCAGCAGUGGGGAAUAUUGGACAAUGGGCGAAAGCCUGAUCCAGCAAUGCCGCGUGAGUGAUGAAGGCCUUAGGGUUGUAAAGCUCUUUUACCCGGGAUGAUAAUGACAGUACCGGGAGAAUAAGCUCCGGCUAACUCCGUGCCAGCCGCCGCGGUAA
rnacentral:rRNA from 1 species